ACUGGUCAAAAUAAAAGUCCGGGGACAAAAAAAUAAUUAUAAUAAUAAUACUAAAAAUAAUACUCUGCUGAAGAAAAUCUAUCUGCCAAAAGACAAGCCGGGCUGGACAAAUUGGUAGAGAAUAUAAAAAUGAAUGGGCCCAUACACAAAAUAUACCAUCAUGUAAAGCUCAAUAGCAUUUGAAGGGAAUGACUUACAGUCACACAACCAACUGUAAAGUGUUCAUCUAGGUGUCAGAGACACAAACAUGUUCUUCUGUUCGAGGUUCGUCUGUCCAAGAUCCUAAAACAAAGCCUGUUUGAACUGCCUGAAACUGCUUCUCAUUGAGGACGAGUCUGCGGUUGUUGUCUAAUUUCCACGAUAAUUUGGCGUCUCCUGGGUGGGCUGCACGAGUCUUUUCAGCUUUUCUGGACAACAAGUAAACCGGAGGACGUGCGUGGAAAAGUUGCACCCUGAAGACCGUGUUGACAUGCAGGCUGUUUGCGCUUUAUUGUGCAGCGCGAAAGACCGAUACAGCCUUACCACUGACUGAAGGGAAGACAAAACUGUAAGUCCUACCAAAUUGCUGUAUGUGGAUUCGCCCUCACAGGUAAACUCUUUUACAUUCUUAAGGUUUGCUCUAUUGAACUUAUAAGUUAUAUGAUUAAUUGAAUGUCUAGACAUUUGGCACACAUUUUGAACCUUUUCUGUCCAUGCAUGAGAAUGCAUAUUCACUUGAUUUUCAUAGUAUGUUAAAUUGAUUAAAACUUUGAAAGUUAUAGAAGGUGUAAAAAGAUAAAUAAAUAAAAUAUGGGAAAAACAUGUAGCAAAUCACAUCCUGAGACACAUGCUAUGGUAUGUACAGGGUGCUCAUCUGUUGAUCCUAAUAUCACAAUUAUGCGUGUGAAUUAUGGGGAAGAAUGUUUGAACCAAUAUGAUGUAUGGGUUAAAGAAUGUGCUUUCCUAGAAAAAGGUAGUUUUAGUCUCAGACAGUUAGAACAACAGAAAUUUAAUUUUGAGACAAAGAGAGAGAUUUUUUUUUGAGAGAGAGAUUCUUAAAAUAAAAAAAGAGCGAAGUGCAGUUUUUAGCAGACUGGAAGGCAUUUGCUGAAUGGCAGAGUGAGGCACAUAAAAGGGAGAAAAAAUGUCAGGCAGGGCUCUCAUCUGUUUCUCAGAGUGCUAAAUUGCAGAAAGCCGAUUCUGACCUGGACUCCUCCCCACCGUGACGCCCACAGCCAAUAAGGAGGGAGGAACCUGCAGUUUCAGAGGCACCUCCUCCCAAUGAAGCCCAGCCUAUGCCACUCCAUCCGAACCUGUCAGAACUGAGCCACCAACCCCCACCGAACUAUGCUCCAGCCAUCCUAGCUUCACCGGUGGCGUUACACACGAGAUCCCAAGUGAAGGGACCAACAACAUUGCUGCCUGAGGCUUUCAGACCAACAAAAUCGGACAUAGAAGGGACAAUGCACGCCAUGGUAAAUGCCCCAAUGUUAGAAGUGGCUGGAGAAGGAGGCCCUAUGCAAGUUCACAGACUCUGGGCAUUGGAAGACAUCAGGAGCAGCAUGGCGCAUCUGUCGGCGCUCCACAAAGUAGAAGGACGAAAAUUUGGGGAUGAACUUCAAAUAUUCUGCAGAGAAUUCAGACCCACCACUCCUGAACUACGAUGACUGCUCAUGGAAAAACUUGGCACGGACUGGGUCAAGGUUUCAAGUGAAUUCCCAGAGGAUGUUGUCCGCCUGAUCAACCCACAGUGGGAUGAUGAAGUCAACACAAGGUACAGAGCACAAAUCACGGUGCUCCAGCAGAGGCUGACGAACACCUUUCCUGUAUGGUCAUGACAAAAUGGACAUGACAAAUGGACAUGACAAAAAUAGCGAUUUGUAAACAACAAGACUCAGAGACUGUAUCACAGCACCUGUCCAGGCUCACUGAGAUCCAUGACGCAAACUCAGGCUUGGAGAAACCCGACGCUCUGGCAGAUGGGCAGGCGGCCAUCACAGCAUGGGAGGCACAUCUCAGAAACAGCUUUAUGAAUGGCAUGACACCAGAAAUUGGCGCUAUAAUCAAACAACAAUGUAUCACCUGGGACACCGGAAGCCUCACCCAAGUGAAAAGUUAUGCAAUCCACACGGAGAAGCUCCUACGAGAGGCAAAGGAAAGAAACAUGGAGAGGAGAGGAAGACCAAAAGCACACAGACGAGGAAGACCCGGCCGUCAGGGCUAUGGUCCAGGAUUAAACUGUUACAACUGUGGAAAAGUUGGACAUUUUGCAAGAGACUGUCCAGAACAGAAGUGAACUGACGGGUGGAACUAAGGGAAGGGUGAGGCACCUGGGAACAUAAGAGGGAGUAACUCAUGACAUUUCUGCAAAGGGAAAGAAACUCUCAGCUGACAAAGUAUCUGCAAUCCAGAAGAUUCCCAAGACCCUGUCAAAGAAACAGGUCCUAUCUAUCCUAGGGAGACGGGGAACCACAUGACUGUGUUGUACUGACUAACGAACUCUGCUCCCCUAGAGUCGACCUGAAGGAUGUUCCAUUGGAAAACCCAGAUCUAAUCCUUUUUGUGGACGGGUCUGCGUCAUGUGAUCCAGAGACAGCUUUCAGACCUCCAAGCACGAGCUACAGACGAGGAAAAGGCCGUGUGGCGCAAAGCAGGCUGCACGGUUGUGGACGGAGUUUGGCGGUGCCCCCAGGACUGUCCUUGUCUUCAAAGCUGACGCAUGGCAGGGACCAUGCGUCAAAAGGGGGAAUGAUAGUUGCGAUAAAGCAUUGGUUUCUCUAAUUACUCUAAAUAAAAAUUGUUUACACUGUUUGCGCAACUCAUAACGUGGGUUGUGGUUUGAAUGUAGAGAAGGCCAUGUCCCUACGUCCAAACAGGACUCAGAUGCGGUAGUGAUAAUGAUAAUCUCCAGCGUCAUGCUCUGCGUUUCAUAUAUAUAGUAGUGGUUUAGUACAAGGGCUUCAGAGCGCUCUUAUUAUUCUAUCCUGCUUUAUUCUAUCCUGUAUUAACCAUCUUUCUGUAAUAAACCUUUUUUUACCUUCA